AGUGUUUAAAUUAAACGUUAAAAAUGGCGAAAAAUGCAAAUUUUUCUGAUGUCAAAUGUAGUACACCAUACAUGGUUUUCCAAUAAAUAUGACGUCAUAAAGUGACGUGCAACAGUACAACAUGGCGGGCAAAGUCAGUUGACAGUUCUGCUGAUCGAUGUGGUAUCAACUGUGAUUUUAGGUUAUAAAGACGGUCACGUGGAUCAAUGAAAUAUAGAUUGCGGAAGAAAUCAGUUACUCUUGUUUAAUGUGGCUUGUUACCUGCAAAUAUCAAUACUUAGGUUCAUACAUCGACGAGAGAAGUUGAAAGAAGGCAGUGGGGGCUGGUUAUUGGGAAUUUUUUAAGCAAAGACGCAGUAGUGUAUAAAGUAUGUGACAAGACCAAAAGUUCAAGUAGCUUUGGCCAUCUUUAUCAUUCAGCAUGGGCAAUGUAUGAUGGAUGACAGGCGAAAAGCAGAAAUUUAAGAUCUGAUGAGACGUUUGAUAUCAAGUGUGACUGCUUUUUUUACGCUAAAUCGGACAAAAAGUUUAAGAUCAGAUGAGACGUUUGAUAUCAAGUGUGUCUGCUUUUUCUACGCUAAAUCGUAUAAAUCAGAUAUAAGGCGAGUAAAUCAGACAAAGAAAGUAUCGAAUAUCAAGAAGAAUGUCCUUGGACCAGAGUUAUGCAACAUGCUUCCGUUCAUACAUGCAUACACAGGUUGUGAUGCGAUUUCUAUGAUAUAUGGUAUCAGCAAAGAAGCCGUACUGAAGCUUUUCAGAACCAGUCCCAAUUGUUCAGACAGAUCAUUGAGAUAUUAAAUGAAGAAGAACCAGACGUUAACAAGAUAACAAAUCAUGGUACAGAGGCAAUAUUUUUUCUCAACAACGGUGAUACUUUAGACGGGCUCGAUAUCCUGAGAUUCUGGAAGUUUACCCAGAAGGUUUGCACAACUUGUCAAGCAAAACGGCUGCCUUUCGCUUUCAAUCACUGCGCACAUACCUACAGACACAGAUAUGGCGAGGGAACAACACACUGGAUGCAGUAGAUUUGGGUUGGGAUAUAUCCAACUACAAAUUAAUUCCAGUAAGGACACAUCUGUCUGCUCCUGAACCUCUACUCAAAGUAAUACGCUGUAAUUGCCAACAAAGUUGUGACUCACAACGAUAUACGUGUAGGAAACAUGGACUUGAUUGUUCACAAGAUUGUUCACAAGGCUGUGGGAACUGUCGAUGAAACUGUUCAAAUUCCUCCGACAUCAAUGAUCAUGAGGAAAUUGUGUCUGAAACCUGAACGUAUUAUAUGUACGACCUGUAUAAAGAUUUAAAAUUUUUAAAAGGAUUCGAUGCAUUUAUGAAAAUAUUUGAAAGCAUUCAGGUUUUUCAAUAAUUAUACACAUCAUUUAUUGGAAUGUUUACGUAGCAAAUGGCAUUGACACAUUAUAAUUGAUUCAAUAUGUAUAGAUUUAAAAUAGUUUAGAAUGCAGUACGUUUAGUGUGCGCAUAUAUAUUUAUCGUUUCAAAUAAGAAAAUGCCAGAUUUUCCAAUGAGUUUAUUUGAUUGUGGAUGUUUAUUUUCUAUAAUACGUAUCAAAAUAGAUCUGUAUAUGUGAACAACUUUGAAAUGCAAAAAUAUACUUUAAUCAUUCAUUAAAAAAUGAUUAAACUAUAUACAUGGUUUUUCGACACAAAUGACAAAAUUAUACGUUUUGUUAUAGUCCUAUCGUAUUUUUUGACGAAACAAUUUCUUUACACUCGUAUUAAUUACAUAAACAUGCAGAUGCUAUUCUUAAUGACGUUUCGCACAAAUCAGUGAUUUUUUUUUGCUUUUAUUUGUUACAGACUGUGCGAUUUGAAUUGGGAAAAUUAUCGCGAUAAACCAUGAAAUUGGGAAAAUAGUGCGAUAAACCAUAAAAUUAAGCAUUAUAAAUAUAAGUAACAGAAUUAAAAUUGCUUUUAAUUAAGUGCCUGUUCAGUUUUUUUUCUAGCCAUUUUGAGAAAUGGAGUCUGGUCAAAUUGAGAUUGUUUUAAUUGAUAAAAGUGGCAACUUUGGGACUUAUUUAUCAACAAAAAGGACUAAAUUAAAGUUAUAUAUUUUGUAGGAUGUUUAAAUAAAAAGUUGGGAUCUAGAGUUAAGAAAUCAUAAGUCAUAAGAGGCUUUUUAUUUGUUUUAAGAAAAUGAUCUUUUAUUGGGAAAUUUUCAUCAGCUUUUUGGGAAAAAAACAUAGAUCUUUCGAUUGGGAAGCAGCCAAAAAUCGGCGGUAAUUUUAAGCAAAAAAAUCACUGUAAAUAUUUAUCAAGUUAUCUUGUGAUUGAUAUUACUGGAGCCGAAAUUUUAAUUUUCUUGAGAGAGAAAAAAAUGCUCGCUUAAUUAACAUUGUUACAAUGUAUUCAAACCAAUUAUUACAAUACUAUAUCAUAUGUUUUCGCGACACUACAUAUCGUUUUACUCUUACAUGUUAUUCUUAUAUAGAGUUAAUAAUAAUCUUAAAUGACAUCAAAUCAGUAUAUGCCUUUUAAUUACAUAUUGAACAAAUCGAAAAUAUAGGCUUGGCAAAAAUAUGGUUUUCGCGAAUUUGUGUACAGUUAUUUUAAUAUGUAUUUGAUAUAAAAUGGGUAAAGUGAAUAUAUUAAAAGGAAUUGAAGUUAAA